UCCACACUUAACCACUGCACUACCGGGCCGGCCCCUAUAUAUAUAUAUAUAUUUUAUAACUCUUAUCAUUUGACGUUUAUAUAGAACAGGAUCCUGGUAGGAAACAGAUGACACUUUCCUUGGGGUAAUUUAAUGAAAGAACUAUUUUCAAGGAUGUGGGGAGAGUUAAGAGAACCAACCAGGGAUGGUUAAGCAUCCAGCAUUUGGCCAUGGUGGGAAGCUAUUUUAAGGAAAGUGUGGUGACCCUGAAGGGACAAUGGAAAUGGUUAAGUAUCCAGGGUUUGUCCAUAGUGGGAAGCUAUUUUAAGGAAAGCAUGACGACCCUGAAGGGACAAGGGAAGGAAGCUGAUACUGGAACCCACAGAGAGCUAUAGCCAUGGUGGAGAGGCCUUCCAUCAGGACACGUGGCCCUAGGUAGAGGAACAUAGUUGCUGCCAAGUCACCACCUGGUAGAGGGAGGACCAGGGGAGUAAACACCUUCUUUUUCUUCUGACCUUCCAUCUCCUGCUGGUGCCACACAUUGGCCAAACCCACCCAGAAGCCAGAUGUCAAGGAAGCCCAAGCAAUGCAAUAGAUAGAAGUCCGCCUCUUGGGGCACAGAGCAAGGUGGAGGAGGGUGGGGAGUGGAUCUGGAGUAGCAAAGAGAGACUGUCCAGCACACAUUGUCUAUCUGUUUGUUGAUAGUCUUUUUCUCUCACUAGAUUGUAAGCCCCAUGGAAGCAGGAACUAAAAAAGUGCCAGGCACAAAGAAGGUGCUCAAUAAAUGUUUUUAAAGUGAAUGAAUGGGUGACCUGUGGGCAUGUAGUGAAGUGGCAGCAAGGUGUGAUCUGUGAGGUCAUGGCCCUGUGACCCUAUGUCUAAAGGUGAGGAGUCACUUGGAGAACCAGGAAAUCUGACAGCCAUUUUCAAGGGUAAGUGGUCAAAACUGGACACAAAGCACAUCCCAGAGCAGGCAUCCCAAAACUGAGCCGACUAGGACAUGAUGCAGAACACACAAAUGUGCUGAGACUGUGAAAAGCUGCCAGCUGCGACAGCAACAGCAGCUAGAGCAGAGAAAAUUUGCUGGUAAAUUGAGAAAGUUCUUGCAUUAUAAUCACCAGAAAACAAAAAACACAGAGUCCUCGAGAGCCCUGGAGUCUGAUCAAGAAGAUUAGCAUGAAAGCACAAAGCGGAUAAACUGGAUCCCCUCUGUGGCAUACCCAUGGUUGGGGUAUACAGGGUCCCACUCAUUUACAUGCACUUGGUGCUGCAGGAUCUGGUAGGCAGACCUGGUGCCUGUACCAUUUCCACACCAAAAAGUCUAAUUAUAUUUGCACUUUGUGAUUUUUAAGGAAAGCCUAUGGAAGAUUUCAUAGGGAAAACAGAGGUAAUUUCUAUUGUGCAAUACACAGCAAACAACUGCAGAUGUGGUCCCCAGACAAAUUUGAUUGCCCAAAUCCCCUUCUCCUUCUCCAUCUCUUUCACCUUUUUCACCAGAAAGCUCAGUUCAGUCCCCAACUUGUAUACCUCCUCAGUCUGCAAAACAAAGGCCCUCUCUGAAGGGCAGUUUAGGGAACACCUAUUGCUGCCAGAGAAGGUGCCUUAGGGGUUCCACCCCCAAUUCAAUGGAGCAAAUAAAAUAUUUAUCCCGAGCACCCACAUGGUCUUCCUGACAAGAGGACCAUAAAUGGAAUUUUCUCUAACUCAUGAGAUGUAUGAAAAAAUUACCUAGGACAGUAGGUUGUUAAACAACCUACGUGUAGCUCAUUCAUUUUCUUCCUUCGCAUCACAUUCAUUUUGUGGCUUCUUAAAUCUCAAGUAAAAGAAGCCCUUCAGGUACUGUCAACCAGAUGCCCCAAGCUGGGUAGACUCCACUCACCACCCAGCACUGAUGUAUGUGCUGAACUAGGGGAGCCCUGUUUGAGGCCGCCAGGCUGCCUGUUCCACAGAUGCCGGCUACAGCUCAGGCACCAGCUGUGUGACAUGGGACCCAGCUGGAGGGAAUACAACAGAGCAAGAGGCACUGACCUGUAAGCACCCUCAGCUUCUCUUCAAUACCAGUGUGGAAGCAAAAGAUUGUGUCAAAAUGCCUGGUGGAGAUAAGGCAGGUGAUGGUGGGGAAGGGAGACAGCGUGUGAACGAGAAGAAUCAGAUUGGAAAGUCUUCUGGAGUAUGCGUGUAACCAGGGGUCCAAGAUGCAGUUUACGUGAGAGGCUGGGUACAAGACUGAGGUGCAUUUUGCCUUUUGGGGAGACAUCUAAAUCUUCUGUGUUACUGAAGAGCUUGCUGUGCUCACAGGAUAGAGAGAAACAUUCAAGAUGUCUUUGAAGCUAACUCAGAAUUAGCCAGUAACAAGGCAAGAGGGGAGGCCAGUCUGGCUGAAGCAGUGAGCAGGGGAAAUCUAGCUGAGGGCCAGAGGUGGGGAGAAGGCAGGUGAUAGGGAGGCUUGGGAAGCACACUGGCUAGAAAGGACAUCAUCAUCCUACUCUGCGUUUGAGUGGCCUUGACAGUGGUGUUUCAUUUGACCUAAGGGCCGUGAUCCAGAGAAGCAGCAGUAACCCACAUUUGGAUAAAGUCAUACUUUCUCUGAAAAUUCCCUUAAAAAUCCAGUGAUUCUCAAGUUUUGUGAUUUUUAAAAAAAGACUACAUUUACUGUAGAGUUCAUGCUCUUAUUUAUGCCCUGUGAUAUGAACGCACCUUCUUUCCACAAAUUCACCAUGUCCACUUUUCGCUGCAGAGUUAAUAUAGGUGUGCUGCAUCAUCUGUGCUCUAGAGUAUAUGACCAGCCUUCAAAAUCCUUGUAACUGUCUUGCCCUUUGGGCCCACGUUGAAUCAAAAUAAGCCUAGAAUUGAAUCAGUGAGCAUGAGGGAGAUGGAGAAGCCACGGCUGGGUGUAAACUCCCAGAGGAAUCUGCAGGUGUUGCUUUACUCCAGUUGGCUGACAUUCCCAAGCAUUCACUCCGUUCUCUAGAUUCAAAGAUGGAGGCUGGAGAAAGUCUCACAUCCGUACUGCACUUAGACUGCCCUGAGCUCCAGGAGCAGGGAUGGCCCUGGGAGCUAGCCUGUGGAGGGAAGCAGAAGAAUCAGACUGCAGUUGAGUGGACCUCCCUUAAACAGAGACGUGAUCUGGAUCCACAUGGGCCACACCGUGAAAUGGUAGAGCCACACAUGGCAUGGUGCAUCCUGUGGAUGGGUGAAUUCAUGAAGCCAAAUUCUGUUAAGGUGCAACACGACUUUGUACAUCUAAAAGCACUGGAUAACUUGAAUUUUGGCCUGGGAGACAGACUCUUGCUAAUGAAGUUUCAGCAAACUCCUUUGAACUGUUGAGAGUGUCUGAGGCGGCGAGCAAGGGGCAGCUGGUGGACAGUCCGUAGACUAACUCGACCGUGGGAAGCUUCUAAACUCUGCCCUGCACACAACUGCUCGGCCCAGGGCAGCUGCUUCGAAAGGAAAAAAAUAAUUAGACACCACAAGGCUCCCCUAUGGCUUAAGAUUCUCUUCGCCUCCUGGUCUAACACAGCCCUCACUGAAACAUCUGAAUCCCGUCUUUCGUGUGAUCUUGUGCUAUUUUGCUGGCAGUUUCACAAUAGUGACCAACUUAGGGACCGCAGAGAGAAGCUAGAUAUCUCUGCCAGAGAAAACGCAUUCCUGAACCUGACAUCUGGGCCUUGCAGCUGGAGAGAAGAAGACAAAAAAGAAAAAAUCCUGAGUGUCAUCAAAGGCAGUUGAUGGUGCCAAGUUUGAUGAAGAGUGGACGGUUGUGUAGAAAUGUGAUCAGGGAAAGAGUACGAGGUCACCACCAGAGCAUGGCUGCCAAUGAAUGGUGUAGGUCAAAACCUACUCCCAGGAACUGAACCCAGGCCACUGAAGCGGAACCUGCUCAACUUAGCUGCUAGGCCAUGGAAACGGCCCCUUGAAUAUUUUAAGCUGAAGGAAUUUGAGAAACAGCAGGUGCAGGAAAGACUCUCUAACUUCUCUCUCCUCUCUUGAAGCAUAAAUCCCUCAUGUGAGAGGAAUGCUCCCUAUACCCAGCAGAAAGGAGCAUCCUUAUCUCCGAAGACAAAGAGACACCAAGAAGAAUCCUAACAAACAGCCUCCGCAAAGUUACCCCAGUUUAUCACACCCUUUUGUCCUAUCAUAUUUUUCCACAACUUCCCACUUUUCAUCAAAUCUUCUAUUAAAAAAUGCUGAAGUUGAACUCUUUCUUCAGGUCUCCAUUUCCUUAUGAAGGCUGUUGUGUCAUGUAAACUCAUAUUAAAUAAAUUUGUAUGUUCUUCUCUUGUUCAUUUGUCCUUUGUCAGUUCAAUUUAUGGUGCCCCAGCUGGAGAGCCUAGGAGGGUAGUAGGGAAAGGAAUUUUUCAGCCACUACAAAAUGAUAUUAAAAAGAGUACAGUGGCAGUUUUUCUGACUCUAAAGACUGGUUCUUUGGAUAUGAUCAGAGUCUGAUAGCAGAAACAUUGCUCAUGGUAUUCACAAAUACAUCCUUAGCAAUUAAAAAAAACACUGGGCUGGCCCAGUGGUGUAGUGGUU